rnacentral:tRNA from 1 species
CAAGCGGUAGUUUAAAAAUAAAACGCCAAUUUUGCAUGUUGGUAAUUGGCCAAUCCACUGUUUGA